UGUUAACAAUCAGCUGUUAACGCAACCUUUAGUGUUAUCGACAGAAAGUGAGCUACUGUCAAAUCAAAAUAACGUUAAGUGGUGUUGGAACAUAAAAACAAAUUGUAAAAUACUGUGAACAAUGGAAUUUAGCACUAAAGAUAGUUCAUUUGGAGGUGAGGAAGAGAGGAAGCUGCUGUCAUCUGAAGUGUAUCCAGGUGUUGAGUCAUCCUCCUGUCUAAUCGCACUGUUCCUCUGAAUGCUUCUUGGUGGAGACUGGCUCGAAUCAUGUCCAUGAGUGUACAAGUUUCGAUCCAUCUGCGCGGGCAAGUUUCGUUUGAGGCCUUCACGAAACUCCCUGGAGAUACUCCUUGCUGUCAGGCUGUGUACCUAUGUUCAUUUUCAUUGUUAGGUAAUUUGACAAAGACUAGUCUCUUGUGAUAAAAUAACACAGUUGUAUAAGCAUGAAUUAAAAAAUUCUUCCUGA